GGGCAAUUGGUCUAGGGGUAUGAUUUUCGCUUCGCAUCUUCAUUCUCCACAGAGUUGCUUAUGUGAAAGGUCACCGGUUCGAAUCCGGUAUUGUCCA